CUAAUACAUGCAAGUCGAACGCACUCUCGUUAGAUUGAAGAAGCUUGCUUCUGAUUGAUAACAUUUGAGUGAGUGGCGGACGGGUGAGUAACACGUGGGUAACCUGCCCUAAAGUGGGGGAUAACAUUUGGAAACAGAUGCUAAUACCGCAUAAAACCUAGCACCGCAUGGUGCAAGGUUGAAAGAUGGUUUCGGCUAUCACUUUAGGAUGGACCCGCGGUGCAUUAGUUAGUUGGUGAGGUAAAGGCUCACCAAGACCGUGAUGCAUAGCCGACCUGAGAGGGUAAUCGGCCACACUGGGACUGAGACACGGCCCAGACUCCUACGGGAGGCAGCAGUAGGGAAUCUUCCACAAUGGACGAAAGUCUGAUGGAGCAACGCCGCGUGAGUGAAGAAGGUUUUCGGAUCGUAAAACUCUGUUGUUGGAGAAGAACGUAUUUGAUAGUAACUGAUCAGGUAGUGACGGUAUCCAACCAGAAAGCCACGGCUAACUACGUGCCAGCAGCCGCGGUAAUACGUAGGUGGCAAGCGUUGUCCGGAUUUAUUGGGCGUAAAGCGAGCGCAGGCGGUUUCUUAAGUCUGAUGGAAAGCCUUCGGCUCAACCGAAGAAGUGCAUCGGAA
rnacentral:rRNA from 2 species